UAAUUGCUCCCGGCCAUAAGCCCUUUGCGCUAAUUUCGCGUAAACAGCCACCAAAACUGGUCAUUGGGACAAUAGUGCAUCUGCACCUCAGCGGUGUUUUGUCAAAUUUUAAAUUUUUUCUUCAUCUGUCAUCUACAUCUAUAACACUUCUCACACCAACACGCUCGCCGCCCUUCCCUAGACCCACAUACUGCUGACUUGCGGCAGAGGCAGAGGCAGCGCCCUCACAUAAAAAAAACAAAUAUACGCUGCGGGACGGGGUGGGUUAAAAGUCGGUUGAGGAAUCGGCAGGGGGAGGGCAAAGGCAGGGGCCGAGUGAAGCAGAGUGUGAAUGAGAGAAUGUAAAAAGAGCAAAAAAAGCUGCGGGACAGGGUGGGCUUAGCCACUGGAAAUUAAUUUCUCCAUUGUGGCUAUAAUAAUGAUGCGAUCGGAUACCAUUUUGGUGAUCUGAUAGAUGUGGCUAUUUCCUACGGAAUGGCGUUUUUAGUUUUCUUUUAUCUUCAAAACUGUAGAUUUGGGAGGUUUUCGCCCUUUUGC
rnacentral:lncRNA from 1 species